rnacentral:rRNA from 1 species
CCUACGGGGCGCAGCAGUGAGGGAUAUUGGUCAAUGGGGGAAACCCUGAACCAGCAACGCCGCGUGAGGGAAGACGGUUUUCGGAUUGUAAACCUCUGUCCUCUGUGAAGAUGAUGACGGUAGCAGAGGAGGAAGCUCCGGCUAACUACGUGCCAGCAGCCGCGGUAAUACGUAGGGAGCAAGCGUUGUCCGGAUUUACUGGGUGUAAAGGGUGCGUAGGCGGCUUUGCAAGUCAGAAGUGAAAUCUAUGGGCUUAACCCAUAAACUGCUUUUGAAACUGCAGGGCUUGAGUGAAGUAGAGGUAG